CGAGGUUACGUACGAUGUGUAGAGUAUGAUGCUGGCUGAGACAGCAUAAAAUUGGCUAUGAGUUGGCGGGGGACGGGAGGGGGGACGUGGGUAACCGGGCCAUAAGACUGGGAUAACUCCGGGAAACCGGGGCUAAUACCGGAUAACAUUUUGAACCGGAAGGGUCGAAAUUGAAAGGCGGCUUCGGCUGUCACUUAUGGAUGGACCCGCGUCGCAUUAGCUAGUUGGUGAGGUAACGGCUCACCAAGGCAACGAUGCGUAGCCAACCUGAGAGGGUGAUCGGCCACACUGGGACUGAGACACGGCCCAGACUCCUACGGGAGGCAGCAGUAGGGAAUCUUCCGCAAUGGACGAAAGUCUGACGGAGCAACGCCGCGUGAGUGAUGAAGGCUUUCGGGUCGUAAAACUCUGUUGUUAGGGAAGAACAAGUGCUAGUUGAAUAAGCUGGCACCUUGACGGUACCUAACCAGAAAGCCACGGCUAACUACGUGCCAGCAGCCGCGGUAAUACGUAGGUGGCAAGCGUUAUCCGGAAUUAUUGGGCGUAAAGCGCGCGCAGGUGGUUUCUUAAGUCUGAUGUGAAAGCCCACGGCUCAACCGUGGAGGGUCAUUGGAAACUGGGAGACUUGAGUGCAGAAGAGGACAGUGGAAUUCCAUGUGUAGCGGUGAAAUGCGUAGAGAUAUGGAGGAACACCAGUGGCGAACGCGACUUUCUGUGUCUGUAACUGACACUGAGGGCGCGAAAGCGUGGGGAGCAAACACGAUUAGAUACCCUGGUAGUCCACGCCGUAAACGAUGAGUGCUAAGUGUUAGAGCGUUUCCGCCCUUCUAUGCUGAAGUUACGCAGUAAACACUCCGCCCUGCGGGAGUAUCGGGCGGCAUGAUUGAAUCUUCAGAGGACUUGGAGAGGAGCGCCGCACAAGCGUAGGAGAUGGUGUUUUAGUUCGAAGGCAGCGGCGUAAAAUCCUUACCUGGGUCGUGGACGAUCAUCUGAACAAGCCUUA
rnacentral:rRNA from 1 species